rnacentral:rRNA from 1 species
UGGGGAAUUUUGGACAAUGGGCGAAAGCCUGAUCCAGCAAUGCCGCGUGUGUGAAGAAGGCCUUCGGGUUGUAAAGCACUUUUGUCCGGAAAGAAAUCCUUGGCUCUAAUACAGUCGGGGGAUGACGGUACCGGAAGAAUAAGCACCGGCUAACUACGUGCCAGCAGCCGCGGUAAUACGUAGGGUGCAAGCGUUAAUCGGAAUUACUGGGCGUAAAGCGUGCGCAGGCGGUUUGCUAAGACCGAUGUGAAAUCCCCGGGCUCAACCUGGGAACUGCAUUGGUGACUGGCAGGCUAGAGUAUGGCAGAGGGGGGUAGAAUUCCACGUGUAGCAGUGAAAUGCGUAGAGAUGUGGAGGAAUACCGAUGGCGAAGGCAGCCCCCUGGGCCAAGUACUGACGCUCAUGCACGAAAGCGUGGGGGAGCAAAACAGGAUUAGA